UAGAACAACAGCGAUGCCCUAGUAACGCGCGCAGUGAAGCGCGCAACACGCUCGAAUUUGAAAUCUGGCCUCGGCCCGAGUUGUAAUCUGUAGAGGACGCUUUUGGCGCGGUGCCUUCCGAGUUCCCUGGAACGGGACGCCACAGAGGGUGAGAGCCCCGUAAGGUCGGACACCAAGCCUGUGUAAAGCCCCUUCGACGAGUCGAGUAGCUUGGGAAUGCUGCUCUAAGCGGGAGGUAUACUUCUUCUAAAGCUAAAUAUUGGCCAGAGACCGAUAGCGCACAAGUAGAGUGAUCGAAAGAUGAAAAGCACUUUGAAAAGAGGGUCAAAUAGUACGUGAAAUUGUUGAAAGGGAAGCGCUUGUGAUCAGACUCGCGCCGGGCGGAUCAUCCAGUGGUCUCCACUGGUGCACUCCGGCCGGCGCGGGCCAGCGUCGGCUGUUGCGGGGGGACAAAAGCACUGGGAACGUAGCUCUCUCCGGGGAGUGUUAUAGCCCUCUGCAGAAUACCCCCGCGGCGGCCGAGGUCCGCGCAUUGCAAGGACGCUGGCGUAAUGGUCAUCAGCGACCCGUCUUGAAACACGGACCAAGGAGUCGAGGUUUUGCGCGAGUGUUCGGGUGCAAAGCCCCAACGCGUAAUUAACGUGAACGUAGGUGAGAGCUUCGGCGCAUCAUCGACCGAUCCUGAUGUAUUCGGAUGGAUUUGAGUAGGAGCGUAAAGCCUCGGACCCGAAAGAUGGUGAACUAUGCCUGUAUAGGGUGAAGCCAGAGGAAACUCUGGUGGAGGCUCGCAGCGGUUCUGACGUGCAAAUCGAUCGUCAAAUAUGGGCAUGGGGGGGCGAAAGACUAAUCGAACCAUCUAGUAGCUGGUUACGCGAUCUUCCCCCCCCCGGAGAGAAU
rnacentral:rRNA from 1 species